GGUCUUUUACAGAAGGACACAUGUGGAACCACCUAAUAGUACUUCUAUCAAUGACUUUGUCAUUGAUGAUUCAGAGGAAGGGGACGAGGACGAUAUCAUUGCAGUUCCUUUUGAAAGUGACAUGCCUACGUCGGAGGAAGUGGAUCUUGCCAUAAUUCUGAGUGCUUUUCGAGAGGAUCACCUUACUGGGGGCGUCAUAUCCACUUGUUGUAUCAGGAGGAAAAAGCUUCUGGAGAGUGCCAUUAAAGCAAUCUCCAGAGUCACUUUCUGUUGGACCGAUUCACCACAGAUUGAGUUUGUAGGAGAAGAUGCAGAUGAUAUGGGGGGACCACAGCAAGAGUUUUUCAGGUCUGUGUACCCUCAAUAUUUUCUAAAUAUUUUCCUCAAAAUGUG